rnacentral:snRNA from 1 species
AUACUUACUGGCAGGGGAGACACCAUGAUCACGAAGGUGGUUUUCCCAGGGCGAGGCUUGUCCAUUGCACUCCGGACGUGCUGACCCCUGAGACUUCCCCAAAUGUGGGAAACUCAACUGCAUGAUUUGUGGUCGUGGGGGACUGCGUUGCGUUCACACACU